rnacentral:ribozyme from 13 species
AUGAAAGAUUUAUUGUUAUUAUUGUAACAAAAAAAGAAAAAGAAAUAACAAUAACGAUUAUUGCUUCUUUU